CAGAUUAUACAGGAAUAAGAUCAUCUUAAACCAUGCUUACUAGUUAUUAUGCUUUUGUGGACAACUUUAGUAAUUAUCAAAAAAGUGCUGUGCGAAACUGCGAACCCGUCGGCCGUUCAUUCUCAUAGUUUACCACGGGAUAAAUCGUUGGCCAUUUUGCUCUGGGACAGCUCUCUUGUGUUGACCUUAAUAAAUAAUAACCCAGGGCCUAUGAUGUUAAACCGGCAACUAAACAGUGGUCCUGAAGUUAUAAAUAAACCGGUAGCAUUUUUUCGUAGCAGCUAAGAGUUAUUUGUCCUGGAAACUCACGGCCAUCAGUCAGAUUAGUAUAUAACCAGGAAAUUGUCAAGUUGUAUUACUACCAUUAAACAAUGAUAAAUAUAAUUGUUCUUAAUAAUUUGAAUUUGUUAGCGUCACCCCGAAGCAGCAGAUGAUUGUACGUUCCAUCAAACGCGGCAUAGGGUUAAAAGGAUGUGGCACUGUAGACAGCCUUCAGUUUCCAAUUCAUUAGAAGAUUUAGUAGAAAUGUUAAACGACAAAUAGGGAUUGCCAAACCAUUCAAAGACGUCCAUCCAGUGGUGUCCUAAAGUUCAUGAAACACACAUUUUCCAAAGUAAAGUGGCCUCGUUUCGUGUAUUUUACAGUCAUCAUUCCCAGUGGUUUAUGCUUUCUCGAUAUUAAUUUACCAAGAAAGUCAUGGGACACUUUUGAACAUUGUACGUGAUAUUCUGCCACUAACAGCUGUCUAUAAGAUGCCAUUGAUGAAUUGUGUUCUCGAUGUGAUGCCCGAAACUCUGAGAGUAAAUUAAUGAAUUCUUGGUUUUAAGUCCGCCAGAACUACAACAUGGUGUUUUUAUAACAUUUAAAAUAUAAUACAGAAUUGUAGCAAUCAUUCCCAAUGGUGUAUGCAUUCCUGAUAUUAAUUUACCAAGAAUGCCAUUGAAGUACUAACGGCUGUGUAUAUUAAAAUAAAUUAUGAUCUCGAUGUGAUGCCUGAGACCCUGAGAGUAAAUUAAUGAGUUCUUGUUUUAUCAUCGUCAAGUAAAUAUAAACAAGUAGUCAUACGCUAUUGUACUUGGAAAAUUAAUAGCGUAUUAUUUCAUCUGUUUCAAGGUAGCCCUGUUGCAGCUAGAGUCUAAAUAAUGGUAUUAACUUUACAACUUUUACUUGAGGAAAGAGGCCAUCCAGAUUGUCUUUAACAUAAUAUUAUUAAUGUCCAAGUAUUGAAGAACAAUUAAGAACUUUUGUCAUUGGCUAUAUAGAGUGAUACUGGCUGACAUAAGUUGGAUCUAAGAUCUUAAGUGUUUUUGGGUGUGAAUAUGGGACCAAUAAUAUUACCUGGAAUCAUUUCAUUCUACUUAAUUGGCUCAAAUAUCAAAACCUCAAACAUGGGAUUUUAUAUUGUUGAAAAUCUCUUACAUUUUAAUAAAACGUAGACAUACACAAUCUAAAGUAUCGUAUCAAAAUUCUUCGGAAGAAAGCCAUGGUAGAAGUGAAAAUUUAUCUAAUGAAUCUUCGUCAGAAAACUUAAAUUUAGACCAAGAAAAAAAUAUCGAAUUUCAUCAAGAUGAGGAUAGUCAUUCGUCCGACAUCGAUGAAGAAAUUCGGUAUGUGGAAGACUACAACGAUAUUAACUUAAAUUU